rnacentral:rRNA from 1 species
UACGUAGGGGGCUAGCGUUGUCCGGAAUCAUUGGGCGUAAAGAGCGUGUAGGCGGUCCGGUAAGUCCGUUGUGAAAGUCAGGGGCUCAACCCUUGAAUGCCGGCGGAUACUGUCGGGCUAGAGUCCGGAAGAGGCGAGUGGAAUUCCCGGUGUAGCGGUGAAAUGCGCAGAUAUCGGGAGGAACACCUAUGGCGAAGGCAGCUCGCUGGGCCAUAACUGACGCUGAGAAGCGAAAGCAUGGGGAGCGAACAGG